CAGGGGGCACUUCUGUGUGUGCUGAAUUCCAAGUCCUCAGGACCCAGGGAUAUUUUCCAUAGAGAAGGGUGUUGGGAACGGGCCUCCCCAUGGGCACGACCAGGAUGGCAGUUUGCCUCGAGAGAUGUCUUUUGGGGAGGAAUGACCUGAAGACCAAGAGUCACCAAGACUCAGCCCUGGUGUGCACCAGAACCCCUGGAGGAUUUGCUACAAAUGCAGGUUCCUGGGCCCACCCCAGGGCUUCUGAUUCAGCAGAGCCCAGGAACCUGCGUUCUUAAGGAGCACCCCCUGUGAUUUUGGAGCAUGUGUUCACUGGAUCACACGGUGAGAAAUGCUGUGGGUGUGACCGAAGGGAGAGACCUAACAGAUUUGUACUCAGGACUUUUGUCCACCGAACCUCUUGUUGGCCUUGGAGUACGAUCGACAGUAGGUGGGGAAGGGAGUGGAGAGCCACAACCCCUUCUGCAAGGUCAGCAGGCAGUGUAGACUGGCAGAGCUCAUGUGCCACCUCGACACCUUCUCCCCUCUGCUGGCUCUUCCUGAUUUCAGAGGGCAGGCAACACAUCUACCAGGAAGUUAAAACAGACUUCUGAUCAAGACAGCUAGACCCAAUAGACGACAGAGCCGUGUCCAGAAUUGGCCAAGCACAUGGAUGUAAGAACUAACUCUUGGACCCCUCAGCCUGUCAAAGAUAUAAAAGGCAGAAGAGGGAGGAGGACAGGAGAGUUUGUGAAGAAAACCCUUUGAUGAGUGCUGAUGUUAACUGACUCAUUCUGACUGCCAUUUUAAGAAGCUGUGAGAGUGAAAGCUGGGAGGAGCCCUGGAGACAGAGGGGCACAGACCCUGUUCUGGAGGUGUGACCAUCAGGACCUGCCCGUGUUGGCCGUGUUAGGUGAGGUGGAUGCGCUGGGGUUCCUGCCUGCUACCUGGGCACGUGGCAGUCAGACAGAUGGAGUGGACAAGACUGAGGGCCCGCCGUUUGGAGCGGGCAGUGAGCAUCUGCGAUGGGUGCGUCUUG
rnacentral:lncRNA from 1 species